rnacentral:rRNA from 1 species
UACGGAGGGUGCAAGCAUUGAUCGGAUUGACUGGGCGUAAAGGGCGCGUAGGCGGCUUGAAAAGUCUGAUGUGAAAUUUUUGGGGCUCAACCCCAAAACUGCAUUGGAAACUUUCAGGCUAGAGUUCAGUUAGGGUAAACGGAAUUCCACGUGUAGCGGUGAAAUGCUUAGAUAUGACAUAGAACACCAAUUGCGAAGGCAGCUUACUACCCGAAUAUUGACACUGAGGCACGAAAGCGUGGGGAUCAAACAGG